rnacentral:rRNA from 1 species
CAGUCGAACGAAGCACCUUAUUUGAUUUUCUUCGGAACUGAAGAUUUGGUGACUGAGUGGCGGACGGGUGAGUAACGCGUGGGUAACCUGCCCUGUACAGGGGGAUAACAAUCAGAAAUGACUGCUAAUACCGCAUAAGACCACAGCACCUCAUGGUGCAGGGGUAAAAACUCCGGUGGUACAGGAUGGACCCGCGUCUGAUUAGCUGGUUGGUGAGGUAACGGCUCACCAAGGCGACGAUCAGUAGCCGGCUUGAGAGAGUGAACGGCCACAUUGGGACUGAGACACGGCCCAAACUCCUACGGGAGGCAGCAGUGGGGAAUAUUGCACAAUGGGGGGAACCCUGAUGCAGCGACGCCGCGUGAGUGAAGAAGUAUUUCGGUAUGUAAAGCUCUAUCAGCAGGGAAGAAAAUGACGGUACCUGACUAAGAAGCCCCGGCUAACUACGUGCCAGCAGCCGCGGUAAUACGUAGGGGGCAAGCGUUAUCCGGAAUUACUGGGUGUAAAGGGUGCGUAGGUGGUAUGGCAAGUCAGAAGUGAAAACCCAGGGCUUAACUCUGGGACUGCUUUUGAAACUGUCAGACUGGAGUGCAGGAGAGGUAAGCGGAAUUCCUAGUGUAGCGGUGAAGUGCGUAGAUAUUAGGAGGAACAUCAGUGGCGAAGGCGGCUUACUGGACUGAAACUGACACUGAGGCACGAAAGCGU